UAGCCGUAAACGAUACUCGCUAGGUGUCGGCCACGGUGCGACCGUUGUCGGUGCCGUAGGGAAGCCGUGAAGCGAGCCACCUGGGAAGUACGGCCGCAAGGCUGAAACUUAAAGGAAUUGGCGGGGGAGCACCACAACGGGUGGAGCUUGCGGUUUAAUUGGACUCAACGCCGGGAAGCUCACCGGAUAAGACAGCGGAAUGAUUGCCGGGCUGAAGACCCUGCAUGACCAGCUGAGAGGAGGUGCAUGGGCGUAGACGUCU
rnacentral:rRNA from 1 species